GGAAGGGAGGGGAAAGGAGAAGAGGAGAGGACAGGAGAAGAGAGAAGAGAGGAAUCCAAAACAAACAACCUAAACAAGAUCGUCCUAUAGUGCUUCAUUAACAAGUGUUUCUCAGUAGUGAGCAUUCAGGGUUCUGUCCAUUACUGCUGGUGGAUGUUGCUGUUGUAAUUCUCUAAAUCUUUGUCAUGACUGGCAUAUGCCUUUGCAAGUUUUGCAGCUCUGGUUUUGUCUGUAUACUACCAGCCACUGAAUUCGGCAGGAAUUCUGGUGAAAUCAAUAAAGUCCCUGUGCUGUGUUUGGUCAGUGUAAAUAGUAACUAAGAAGCAUAUGCUAGCAAGGCAGCAGUCUAAGUCGCCUUGCACUUAAUUAACACAUUUCCUGUGGCCUAGAACCUGACUGCCCCUGCGAAUGCAUGCCCCACCAUGAUAGUGCUAAGUUGAAGCCUAAGACUUAUAUUAUAAUCAUCAUUGAUAGUAAUUAUUGCUAUCCUUAGCAUCUAAUCAAAUCUCUGAUAUACUUUUUACGAUUGUAGAUAUAAUAGUCUUCUAUAUAAAACAGCCUUUGUAUUCUCAGGAUUAAAAUUUAACACAUUUGUGAAAACUGAGUCUCUAUGGCCAGUUUCAUCGACACACAAUCAGAAUCACAAGCUGCCCCAUCAGCAAGGCUAUAAACUUUUACAGACUAAGUUCCCAGCUCGAUGGGAUUGAUAUGCUCUUGGAAGGUACUAAGCAACCUGCGCAGUAUAAAUAGUAUUAUCUGGGCUAUAGAUGCUGGAAUCAGACCAUGUGGCUCUAAACCCAGCUCAAUAUUUACUUGCAAGGUGAUAUUGAUUACUUUUGGUCUUGAUUGUGCAGUAUAGGUCUGUGUUGAGGGCACACAUCAAAUAAAGAAAGCUCAUUAAGAUAAACUCUAAGUAGCUGAAUGAUGCUUUCAUUAUAUACCCAUAACUUAGGUGAUGAGGUUAUAUCUUGCUUUGGUUUUGACACUGGGUUCAGGUCUCUUUCUUCCUUCCUUCCUUCCUUCCUUCCUUCCUUCCUUCCUUCCUUCCUUCCUUCCUUCCUUCCUUCCUUCCUUCCCCCUUUCUCCCUUCCCUUUCUCCCUCCCUCCCUCUCUCUCUUUCUUUCUUCUCUCUCUCUUUCCCUCUUUCUCUCUCUUCCUUCCCUCCUUCCUUUCUUCCUCCUCCUUCUGCUCCUCCUCCUUCUUCUUUACUAUUCUUUAUAUAGAAAUAACUAGUGCUAGAGUACACAUCUUUUAAGAAACAAAAUGUAGCCUGUAUCUUAAACUAGUUCUUUGUGCUAAAUCCUUAAAUUAGAAUUGACACCCCCAAAAACCACAGACAUUUAUUUAAAAAGAGUAUGCACCCAUUUAUAUUCCUGAUGUCUACAAUUAUAUACAUAUAUAUAAUAUAUAUCAUAUGUAUGUGUAAUAAAUUUAUAUUAUUGCUUGAGAAUUUUACACAUGAAUAUUAUGUUUUAAAAAUUCACCUUCUAUUUCUCUUCCCCUCCCAACAUUAUGAAUUCAUUUUUUAACCCACUGAAUGAAUUAAUGUUGUUCAAUAUGUUCAUGGAUGAACAACCUCUAUUGGAGCAUGGGCAAUCUCUAAGGGGAUACAUACCCAAGGAAAAAUUAGCUCCCCCUCAGUAGCCAACAUCCCUCUGCAAGGGGAAGAUGAGCCCUUUCCUCCUGUCAUGCUGGGAUCUUACCUAGCCCCAUAUUUUCAAAUAAACAUCUGGGAAGCUUUCCUUUUCCCUUUAACAAUCAAAUGUACACACACCAAGUAAACUGAUAGUCAUUUAAUAGUUACUAUGUAGAAAUGCAAACCAAAUAAAAUGACAUUCUGUGGUUAGAAACUGCUUUCAUCUAGCAACACUUCAAGUUAGAAGGUUUUUGAUGGUAUGUUUACCAGUCAGCCUAAGACAGUGCUCUGAUGAUAUAGAAGUUUCAUUAUUACAUGGCUAGCAGAGAUGUAGUAUACUAAUCACACAAUUCAACCAUGUGAUUUAUAAUUUAUAGCUUUAGUGAAAAGAAGCAUACAUCUUCUCCCUUCCCCUGGGAUUUAUUGAAAUGUUGAAUAUGAAAGUUCUUUUCGGAUGGAAGUGUGGGGUCUUAGAGCUUUCAGCUGAUAUCCUGGGGCUUCAGGGAAAUUGCCCUUAAAAUGGAUUGCCUAGAAUCUACAGAAAAGGAGCUGAGGGUCUUUAGAUUGCUGUUUGGGGGGGGGGAGAGUUUCUUCCUCAGAUUUCUUUCCACCUAGAAACUCAGUAACACUAAGCUAUGGAUGGAGCGGGGACUGUCUAAUCCCUGUCCCUUACCUGUCAUGAUGGAAAAGCUGGACAUCUACAGCUUUCCAACCAUUUUAGAAGUAUAAAAGUCUGACACAUUUGCAUUGGAUAGAAUACUAAAGUUGUAUAGAGAACUUCCUAGUAUCUUUAAAGUAACUGGCUUUCAUGAAGACUAUUGUAAAGUCCAAGAAAAGACCAUUCCAGAUUCUGACUAUAUUUGAAUUGACUGUCAAUAGGUAACUUGAGUAACCCAUGGUAUUUAAACUAGAGUUUCUGUGUCCAUGUAUAUGUUGUGAAGGUAAUUGGCAACAGAAUCAUUUUUAACUAAAUUUAUCCACCAGUGUCAAAUGCUUACACACUCAGUGUUACAGAAGGAGAGUGCCGUGAUGGGAGACAUGACAUAUACUGUUUUAAAAUCAAGAUUUUCAUAGUCUUCUGAUGCUUGGCUAGCAGGUUUUCUAAAGUCCUUUUAAUCAUUUUCAAGGAACUAUGUGGGAAUUUCCAAAGGAUGUCAAGUGAAAACUAGUCAUUUGAUAGAAUGACUUACUCAUCCAGAAGGUUUCAUGGAAAAACUAGG
rnacentral:lncRNA from 1 species